rnacentral:rRNA from 1 species
AGACGUCUACAUUAGAUAUCCCGUAGUCCCAGCUGUAAACUAUGCGCGUUAGGUGUAUCGGUGACCACGAGUCACCGAGGUGCCGAAGGGAAACCGUGAAACGUGCCGCCUGGGAAGUACGGUCGCAAGGCUGAAACUUAAAGGAAUUGGCGGGGGAGCACCACAACAGGUGGAGCCUGCGGUUUAAUUGGACUCAACGCCGGGAAGCUCACCGGAUAGGACAGCAGAAUGAUUGCCGGGCUGAAGACCCUGCAUGACUAGCUG